GAUGAACGCUGGCGGCGUGCCUAAUACAUGCAAGUCGAGCGAACAGACGAGAGUGCUUGCACUCUCUGACGUUAGCGGCGGACGGGUGAGUAACACGUGGGUAACCUACCUAUAAGACUGGGAUAACUUCGGGAAACCGGAGCUAAUACCGGAUAAUAUUUAGCUUCGCAUGAAGCAAUAGUGAAAGACGGUUCUGCUGUCACUUAUAGAUGGACCCGCGGUGUAUUAGCUAGUUGGUGAGGUAACGGCUCACCAAGGCAACGAUACAUAGCCGACCUGAGAGGGUGAUCGGCCACACUGGGACUGAGACACGGCCCAGACUCCUACGGGAGGCAGCAGUAGGGAAUCUUCCGCAAUGGGCGAAAGUCUGACGGAGCAAUGCCGCGUGAGUGAAGAAGGUUUUCGGAUCGUAAAACUCUGUUGUAAGGGAAGAACAAGUACGUUAGUAACUGAACGUACCUUGACGGUACCUGACCAGAAAGCCACGGCUAACUACGUG
rnacentral:rRNA from 1 species